GUUGGAGGUCUAUAUUAUAAUAGACGCGAACGUCUGACGAUUGAUUUGACUUAAAAGAAAAUCUGCACAACGGUUAUAUGUGUGAUUUUCGAUUCCAGAUAUUGUAUAUAAUAUCUAUAGGUAUAUGCAGGUGGUGAGCCGUUGAAGUUACAGACGUUUUAUGGAAUACUCGCGAUAUUUUUUCUAUAAGCUGUGUAGAAGUGGAGAAAUAAUAAUUGUUAUUUUAGUUUUUUAUUUUUGGUUUCACGAAUUGAAAAAAAAAUCAUUAUUAUUCUCGGUUUAGGAAAUGAGUUCGGAGAAAAAAAUAAAAACCAUCGAAAAUGAGAGCGAUGAAAACUUACCGUUCGAUAUUUACGAUUUGGAUUACCCGACAAGAGUUAUUUCUU